UUUCGCGUUCGGCUUGCGGGCGAUGAUGCCGUUGCCGACGGCGUGCAGCAGGUGGGUUUUACCCAGACCCGUGCCGCCAUA
rfam:Pluralibacter gergoviae strain JS81F13 contig_18, whole genome shotgun sequence.